GACAGAGGAUGCAAGCGUUAUCCGGAAUGAUUGGGCGUAAAGCGUCUGUAGGUGGCUUUCAAGUCCGCCGUCAAAUCCCAGGGCUCAACCCUGGACAGGCGGUGGAAACUACCAAGCUGGAGUACGGUAGGGGCAGAGGGAAUUUCCGGUGGAGCGGUGAAAUGCAUUGAGAUCGGAAAGAACACCAACGGCGAAAGCACUCUAGCUGGGCCGACACUGACACUGAGAGACGAAAGCUAGGGGAGCAAAUGGGAUUAGGAAACCCUUGUGAG
rnacentral:rRNA from 1 species